rnacentral:rRNA from 1 species
GGUGGUAAUGCCGGAUGCUCCGACUCCUCGCAUGGGGUGUCGGGAAAGAUUUCAUCGGUAUGGGAUGGGGUCGCGUCCUAUCAGGUAGUCGGCGGGGUAACGGCCCACCGAGCCUACGACGGGUAGCCGGCCUGAGAGGGCGACCGGCCACAUUGGGACUGAGAUACGGCCCAGACUCCUACGGGAGGCAGCAGUGGGGAAUAUUGCACAAUGGGCGCAAGCCUGAUGCAGCGACGCCGCGUGCGGGAUGACGGCCUUCGGGUUGUAAACCGCUUUUGAUCGGGAGCAAGCCUUCGGGUGAGUGUACCUUUCGAAUAAGCACCGGCUAACUACGUGCCAGCAGCCGCGGUAAUACGUAGGGUGCAAGCGUUAUCCGGAAUUAUUGGGCGUAAAGGGCUCGUAGGCGGUUCGUCGCGUCCGGUGUGAAAGUCCAUCGCUUAACGGUGGAUCUGCGCCGGGUACGGGCGGGCUGGAGUGCGGUAGGGGAGACUGGAAUUCCCGGUGUAACGGUGGAAUGUGUAGAUAUCGGAAA